AAGUCAUAAUUUGACCGACCGCACACGGGGCUCCUGCCCAAAAGAGGUCCAUGAAAUCAGGCUGUGCAGUCUGUCUCUUUCAAGAGUUUACAAUACAGUAAAAGUACCGAACGUAGCGGGUCGUGGGUAGGCACACUCUAUGUCUCCCGUUCAUGGGCUUGCUCUCACAAAACGCCUUUUAAUUGCCAUACGUUUAACCGAACUUCGAUGGAAGGAAAGUUCUAGCGGUGUUAGCGCCGUUGAGUGUCCGAUUUGAGUUCCAUGCACGGGACGACCAAACACCACUUUAUGUGUUCGCGGCUAAAGAUGGCUGCGUUCACAUGUUCGCACAUAUGAACAGUGACCACCCAGCCGAUCACCAAUUAAGUUGCGGUUAAACAUAAGUCAGGGAGGUUAAUGGGCUGCUCACUCAACUUGCGGGUGGUCCGACUGUUCGGUAUAUGAACACAAACUUCUAAUCCGUUCGGUAAGCUCUGUAUACCGAACCAU